CCUAACAUAGCCUAUAGCCUGAUCCAGGAACCCUAUAGUCACGAUGUCUUCAUUCAAAUUCUUCGCAGUUGUCGCCCUUGCGUGCGUCUUCCUGGUCAUCCAGACCAGUGCUGAAGCUCCAGCAGAGUUCGACAAGAGUCAGAUUACUGAAGAUACUUUUGCGAGUCUGAGGAGCAAGAGAGAUGCUGGACAGAUCAACGAGGCCGACUUCGACAAAUAUUCCGAGCAUCUCAGGAAGUUGAUGAAGUAGGAAGCGCUCCAUCACGCCACAGCUGGAGUCAAAUGUCAGACUAACGGAGAAGCAACAAAAAUAAACAUUAAUUUAAUGUGA